rnacentral:lncRNA from 1 species
CUUUGCCAUUUAAUAGCUUCUUUGUGUUUCUAUAGGAUACCCCCAUGCUAUAUGACAACCAUAGUGAGCAUGUCAAAAGUUUAACAUGCUUAUUAUAAUUCUCUUCUCUGUAAAUUAUUAUAUGAAGUUUCUGCUUUACUUGGUUAACUCUUCUGAAGCUCACAUGCUUUGCCUAAAGCUUGGUGCUGACACUCAUAAAUCCAUUGUAGGCUCACUAUAUAAGAUAAUGAAUCUGUGUUCUAUAGACUAUCGUGGUAAAGAUGUUUUUGUCAGGUUAUUCAUUCCCAUACAUUGAACCUAUGUUUCUAACUUCUGCCCAUGAUAAAGAAAAUGGGGUUUAGCGCUUUUAAUCAGCAUCUAUUUAAACCAACAAAAGAUCUAUAGUUCCACCAACAUACCAUUUUUUGCUGGUACUCAUAUAUAUAUUAUAAUAUGCUGCUUCCAUAUUGUUUUCUCCCAGGUAUCGCAAGGCAUUCAGGUUCUCUUUAUAGCUUUCCUACACAGGAACAUAUUGCAAAAUUAAGAUACAUAACAUUGUUCCUGACUUAUGAAAGACGGUCGUUCUACCUACAGGUCUGCCUUAUAUCUACAGGUAUAUCCAUGCAUUCUUUAUUCUUUUUUUGCAGUGACCUACUGAUCUUCGUGAUUUAGUUUAGUGCUAGAGUUAGCAAAAUCUACUGAUCUUAUGUCUUUGUCAUGUUCCCCUUGUUUGGGUGGUCUACCUUUGGCUAUGAAUGUACGUAUAUUAUUGUCAUGUUCCCCUUAUCCCUGCAUCACUGAACAAUGCUGGCAAACUAAUGUCCCUUUGCCCUAUGUAAUGGUGUUACAGACUGCCAUUUGUUUUGUCGAGCUUACUAACUGAUUUUUUUUACAUUAUCAUGAAUAUGCUUUAGGCAUGCCUCUUCUCUGUUUCGGUGAAACAAGGUUUAGGGAACUCUUUUUAAAGACAUGUGUAUACACUAUACAGAACACAUGUUUCAUCGUCUUCGCUUUUUUUCAUGAGUUGUUGAAAAGAUCUUAUGAAGCUUGAUUGAUAAUGUUUCAACUCAGAUGAAGUGGUCUGUAUGAUAAGCUUUUGUAGAUCCUGGGGAUCGUUAUACCUUCUGUACAAUUCUCUGUUCUGGAUUCAAAUAGUUUGGGAGUGUUGCAUGCCUUUGUAUUGUGUUCAUAAACCUUGCUAAGUUUCUCCAUGUCCAGUCUUUUCUUCUAAGAAAAAACUCUUUUGUUGCAUCCACAUUAACCAUAUGUAUUUCCAUUUUCAUUUUUGAAUUGUAAACUGUAGCUGCUUAAAACUUUGGUAUAAAAUAAAGCCCUUAUUGGUAAAUGAGACACGUUAUUAGCAAUGUUUCACAUUUUCUUACUUGCAAUACCAUGCUUGCCUGUUCAGGUCUUCCAAGACCUAAAUCAUGAAAUCCAGCACAUACAACACCUUUUUUUAAACUUCGGUUACCCUGACACAAGCCUCCGUUCAAUUUUCUUAUACGGAGGGGUUAGAAAUAGUUACCUUACGUGCUUGCUUUCAAAACUACAUCUACUGAUAAAUGUUUUUUUUUCAAACCACACUGGGUAUCAUGGAUGGAUGAGGUUGUGGCAGUAGUUCGUGGGUGCAGUAUCUAUCUUGAUAAAGCGAUCGAUCAUGGCGCAUUGGAGGCAGAACAAGAGAAAAGCUUUGGGCGUCUGUGGUGUUGAACAUUCAGUGUUUAUGUGCUUUGUACAUGCACGACCAGUUCAGUAACUAGAUGGUCUUUUCUACUUUACUGGUGCUGCUACUUUUUCACAUGCUAGCUUAUUUGAAAAGCGCCAACAAUGUGUGCCACAUGUAAACAGUCCAUGUUGAAAGAAUAGAAGCAGAAGUGUGGAGAUGAUGUAAUUGGUCAGUCAGGAAAUUCAGUCUCAAUGAGCUCAACUAACGACAUGUGUGAGUUGAGCCUGAGGUCAUUUUCAAAGUAACAGAAGUAUUUUACUUUCCUUUUCAUGUCAGUGGUUGAUGCUACUUACAUGUUGUAUCAGGUUAUCAAAGGGCAGCAAUCAUAUACAUUUUAUAAACAAAUAAAACACUUUUAUG